rnacentral:rRNA from 1 species
AGUAUACAGUGAAACUGCGAAUGGCUCAUUAAAACAGUUAUAGUUUAUUUGAUAAUCGAAAGCUACAUGGAUAACCGUGGUAAUUCUAGAGCUAAUACAUGCAGUCAAACCCGACCUUCGGAAGGGUUGUAUUUAUUAGAUAUCAAGCCAAUACUCCUUCGGGUUUAUUGUGGUGAAUCAUAGUAACUGAUCGAAGCCCUCAGGGCUAAAUCAUUCAAGUUUCUGCCCUAUCAGCUUUCGAUGGUAGUGUAUUGGACUACCAUGGCAGUAACGGGUAACGAAGAA